GAUGAACGCUAGCGGUAGGCUUAAUACAUGCAAGUCGAGGGGCAGCAUGAGUGUAGCAAUACAUUUGAUGGCGACCGGCAAACGGGUGCGGAACACGUACACAACCUUCCUAUAAGUGGGGAAUAGCCCAGAGAAAUUUGGAUUAAUACCCCGAAACAUAAUGAUGGGGCAGCACAUUAUUAUUAUAGCUUCGGCGCUUAUUGAUGGGUGUGCGGCUGAUUAGAUAGUUGGCGGGGUAACGGCCCACCAAGUCUACGAUCAGUAGCUGAUGUGAGAGCAUGAUCAGCCACACGGGCACUGAGACACGGGCCCGACUCCUACGGGAGGCAGCAGUAAGGAAUAUUGGUCAAUGGACGCAAGUCUGAACCAGCCAUGCCGCGUGAAGGAUUAAGGUCCUCUGGAUUGUAAACUUCUUUUAUCUGGGACGAAAAAAGGCUAUUCUUAGUCACUUGACGGUACCAGAUGAAUAAGCACCGGCUAACUCCUUGCCAGCAGCCGCGGUAAGAC
rnacentral:rRNA from 1 species